rnacentral:rRNA from 1 species
UGGCUCAGGAUGAACGCUGGCGGCGUGCCUAACACAUGCAAGUCGAGCGCGAUUAAGUGGAGUGAGAACUUCGGUUCAAGUGAAGCUUAUGAAAGCGGCGGACGGGUGAGUAACGCGUGGGUAACCUGCCCCAUACAAAGGGAUAGCCACUGGAAACGGUGAUUAAUACCUUAUAAGUCGGUAGUCUCGCAUGAGACAGCCGACAAAGAUUUAUCGGUAUGGGAUGGACCCGCGUCUGAUUAGCUAGUUGGUGAGGUAACGGCUCACCAAGGCGACGAUCAGUAGCCGACCUGAGAGGGUGAUCGGCCACACUGGAACUGAGACACGGUCCAGACUCCUACGGGAGGCAGCAGUGGGGAAUAUUGCACAAUGGGCGCAAGCCUGAUGCAGCAACGCCGCGUGAGUGAUGAAGGCUUUCGGGUCGUAAAACUCUGUCCUAUGGGAAGAAAAAAUAGACGGUACCGAUAGGAGGAAGCCCGGCGUAACUACGUG